GGCCGCCUGGCGAAAUGGCAUCGCGUCUGACUAUGAUGGCAUGAUAUUCCCGUUAAUGUUAAUUGAGUAAUCAGGAGAUUGCAGGUUCGACCCCUGCGGUGGUCA